CCAGCCCCGACGUUUCACCUCCAUUCCCCACCUGCAGCAUCGCAUUUACCACUUCCCUCAGCAUCUCCCCUGGCAGCGCCAUUUCCCAUUGGGACAUCGAUGCCCUCUCGUCGGGUUCCUCUCUCUCAGCACCCGGAUGGGCAAAGCAAAAGGCAGAAGAGCGGCGUUCUGUGCCGGUGUCACUUUUCUCCCAGCCAACAAACAGAAGUUUUAUUAGCGAAACCCUCUCGGAUGCCGCAUUCCAGCUUGGUAACAUUUCGUGAAUCUUGAGAUAUAAAGAAAGCAGCUGCCUCCCCCCGAGCACAUCUCGGACAAUGCGGCCGCAUCUCCAAGGGCUUUAACUCCUCUGGAUGCAAGGACAAAGCCACGGAUCUGCUGUCUGUGCUGAAAUCUGAUUCGUAGGAAACAGUAUCUGAGUUCGGGAAAUGCCACGGGGUGUCUGAGGCCUUUGGGACCGGGCAUGGAAAAGAGCAGCCCCCAAAGCCUGUUGUAAUCCUCUGUGCCAAAAUGAGAUAAGAAAGCCUCAAAGCUUUAUUACAGGUGAGCUUCCCACGUUGCUGCUUCCUGCUCUGGAACACAGACGGGAGGUGGGGGAGAACCACAGUAAGGGUGGAUCCCACGCCAGCAGGAAUCCGGCCAGGUGAAGGGGACAAACCUGGUGGUGGCUGGAGGAGGAAGAGGAGGAGGAAGAGGAGGAGGAAGAGGAAGAGGCUCUUCUGGCAACCACUCAGCCCAACCACGAGGGAUAUUGGAUUGUGCUUCUAAUCUGGAUGAGUGGAAUCCUCCUGGUGUGGGCUUUGGGAGCAGCUGAUGGAAAACAGACAAAAGAGACUGACGGAGGGGGAUAUGGGUUAACAGGGUAAACCUGGGCACGUGCAAACAAUGGGAUUUCGUGUUAAAAAACACUGGAAGAUUGCAGCUGAGAGCAGGAAAUUGGGUCAGGUGCUGAGUGGUUGUAUCUGCUGUAGGAAAGCAGCUCUGGACAGGCUUUGGCCACCGGUGUGGGGAGGCAGGGCGAUGUGCCCCACUUCUCCCAUGCAAUGGGGUACCAUGCAACGGGGUACCCGGGCAGUGCUGAGCCUUCAGUGUGCUUUAAUCUCAUGGGAGCUGAAUUCUUUGGGGGUAAAAAACAGAAGAAAGGAAUGCCUGUGCCAUCAGGUGCAGAUGUGAGGCUGAGGAGAUGGGCUUUGUGCCCUGAGCAUGCAGUGGGAGGCUCUGAAAGGAGAAACCUCCUGGUAUGAGGUGUGAUUCUGGGUGUUACGGCUGGGGAAUUAUCACACAAGGUAUGAAAGAGCAGAACCUGUUGUGCAAAAGUCAAUCAGAGCGCUGAGUCAGAGCAGCCUCAAUGCGUGCUGAGCUUUUUGGACUCCUUAAAAUCACAUUUCUUGGUCCAAUGCAACCCUGCAUGUUUUCCCCCCAUCCCGUCUGUGUUUGUGGCAUUUGCUCAUAGGGAGUUCUGCUCAAUGCAGCAGCUCUGGGCAAUGCUAUGGGGUGCCUGGAUAUGGGAUGGGAGCUGUAGGUGGAGGGGUUUGGGGAUGGGUGAUGGGUUGGGUGGUCGUGGAAGGGCUGCUCCGCUCCAGGGAGGAUCCGAGUCCUUCAGCUAACAGAAAACUGCCACACUCAGCUGAACCCCAUUGAGGGAUAACAUUGGGCUUCACAACUCAGAAGUAAAGGUGGAGAUGGAAUGAAGCAGCAUCAGCUGUGAUACCGACCAGAGCCUGCAGCAGGAGGACACCCCCUGAGCACCGUGCUGCCCGGGACAGCUGUGCUCCCAGCAGGAGCUGAGUGCUCGUAUAAAUGGAGACGAAGCCCUUGGAUGUGAGGCAUCACUGAGUCUCGUUGAUUUCUGGGAGGAGCUGAGAGCCUCACUGCUCCUUCUGCCAUCUUUCCCAG
ensembl:lncRNA